rnacentral:misc_RNA from 1 species
UUAGCAGUAACUCUUGACAAGGUGAGGUACGUGAUGAGAUCCGUAUUUGGUGACCCAAAGAAAGCUCCACCUCCAUUAGAGAGGCUAAGUCCUGAGGAAACUGUCUCCUUCCUCUGGAAAGGAGAAGAAUCACUUGUUGAGGAGCUUCUUCAGUGCAUGUCUCCUCAUGUGGACACUGAUCUGCUUAAUGAUCUCAAGUCCAAGAUCCGUGCACAUGAUCCGUUGGAAUCUGAUAACGUUCAGAGAGAACUUGAGAAAUCAUUAUUAUGGUUGAGGGAUGAAAUCCGGAGCCUUCCAUGUACAUACAAGUGCCGGC